CAGAAGCAACAUUGCAGAAAAGAACAAGAAAAAUCCAGAGACAUACUACCUUAGUCCAAAACUAUAUUCUGACUAUACUUUAGAAUGAGUACAUGUGAAGCUGAAGGAUGCAAAAAUCUAGUUUUCAUAGUUAUUGAAUAUAAGUGCAAAAUCAAAUUAGCUUUCUGCCGUUCUUGUGCUGAUAGGGAGUAUAAGAAUCGCUUCAUCUGUCCUCAUGAAAUACAUACAGCAAGGACAAGUUCAAUCGAAAAAUACCUUGAGAAAAUACGAGAGAACUAAAGUCGUGUAGAAUAUACUGCUAACUAUUGUUGCUGAUUGAUUUAUUAUUAAUAUACUUUAUGUAAUUUAAAAAUAAAGUGUAAUGCACAUAG